AUUGAACGCUGGCGGCAGGCCUAACACAUGCAAGUCGAGCGGAUGAAGGGAGCUUGCUCCUGGAUUCAGCGGCGGACGGGUGAGUAAUGCCUAGGAAUCUGCCUGGUAGUGGGGGAUAACGUCCGGAAACGGGCGCUAAUACCGCAUACGUCCUGAGGGAGAAAGUGGGGGAUCUUCGGACCUCACGCUAUCAGAUGAGCCUAGGUCGGAUUAGCUAGUUGGUGGGGUAAAGGCCUACCAAGGCGACGAUCCGUAACUGGUCUGAGAGGAUGAUCAGUCACACUGGAACUGAGACACGGUCCAGACUCCUAUGGGAGGCAGCAGUGGGGAAUAUUGGACAAUGGACGAAAGCCUGAUCCAGCCAUGCCGCGUGUGUGAAGAAGGUCUUCGGAUUGUAAAGCACUUUAAGUUGGGAGGAAGGGCAGUAAGUUAAUACCUUGCUGUCUUGACGUUACCAACAGAAUAAGCACCGGCUAACUUCGUG
rnacentral:rRNA from 1 species